rnacentral:rRNA from 1 species
CGUAGGUGGCAAGCGUUGUCCGGAAUUACUGGGUGUAAAGGGAGCGCAGGCGGGUGAUCAAGUCAGCUGUGAAAACUACGGGCUUAACCCGUAGACUGCAGUUGAAACUGUUCAUCUUGAGUGAAGUAGAGGUUGGCGGAAUUCCGAGUGUAGCGGUGAAAUGCGUAGAUAUUCGGAGGAACACCGGUGGCGAAGGCGGCCAACUGGGCUUUAACUGACGCUGAGGCUCGAAAGUGUGGGGAGCAAACAGGAUU